CUUAUGUAAAGGCUGUACUGCCAUCUAGUGAGGGAGGAAGGCUUUCCCUGUGGUUUCCAGCCCUCAUGUGCAGGCAGUGCGUAGAUUUUUCCUCAGCCUGCCAAGAGGCAUUGAUAGGAUUUUGUUUUCUACUAAAACCAUAAAAACAGUACAGACACAAUGAGCCUUGACAUAUGAUCACGUGCAGCCUUGUAGAGGAUCUUCAGCCUGAAGGUGCUCACCUACAGAGCCUGGAGGCACUCUUCUCCGACCGACCAGCAGAACCAGAGGCGCUGACCCUGAUUGGAGAUGCGAAAGAUAAUUGUUCCCAUCGCUGUUGGAAUGGUGCCCCCCCCCCCAAUCCCUGGGAUGUGGCAGGGAUGUCAGGUGGUGCCGUGAAGAUGGUAUGACGGUGAGGUGGACGGCAUCCGAACGCCAGGCCUGGUUGUUUCCACGGCGCCCUGCUGGCGUCUCAGGUUAGGCGACGUUGAGCAGAUCGCCCCCUGGAGGAGGAGAUCAUUCCCUACAAACUGGCUGAGGUUCUUAGGCAGAAACCCGGAGCUGUGAACAUGGCCAACAAUCCGAGCCCCCGGCUGUCACUCACUCGACGGCGUCUAUCGGAAAAGAACGGAACCCUCCAGCGUCCUGGCUGCCAGUCAGAGAACGGCCGAGAGCCGACGGGCGUCUGCGUACGAGUGCCGCUGACGACCGGGACGGGCCUCGUGGCGGCUUUUGGUGGGGAGUGUCAUCUGUUCAGCAAGCCGCUCGUUACCGAAUUUUUUUCUUCAUACGGUUAAUCUCCUGCGGAGAGAGUGCUACGGAAAACGUUUGUAGAAACUCCUACAUCGAACAGGGACACGGUCUAAAAAAAAAACAACAAAAAAAAAAACAGGAGCCGUAAAAUCUCAUGCAGGCAGCCGUCUAAGACGGUUUUCGUUUUUUGAAUGUGUAGGCUGGGGAAAUGAAAAAUGACAGAGUGGGUUGAAAACACCGAAGGAAGAAAAAAGAGCAGAAAGGGCCUCGCUUUUCCUCCUAGUGAGAAGCUGCCAGCCCCGCGGCUCGGGGUGAGUUACUCCUGCAAGCCUGGCUGUCCAGAGCCGGCCUGCAUGCAGACGCCUGUCCUGCCACAAUGACUCGCUUUGGGCUGCGGUCUGGCCUCUCCGGCUGCGAGCCGCCUGCCCCCCACCCCCUUUGCCGGGGGGGGGGGGAUGGAUGGUCACCAGCCACUGUGAGCCAGUGGGACCUCAACAAGGGGGGCCUGGUAAUACUCAGAUGACGCUGGACAGGUGGCAUGAUGCCAGAUUGAGGGCCCACAGGGAGGUGACAGGUACCUGCAGCAUGGGGUGUGCAGGGGGAGGGGCGAAUGCAGGGCUGACUGCUUACCUGCCUGAUUAACACCUGGCUUCAGCACUAGGUAGGCUCGGACAUGGCCCCAUGAUUCUAACACUCUGCAGAAUGUCACCGAGGUCCCUGGGGUGGGGGCGGGGGAGCACGGAACACCAUUCAUGCAGACAAGAGCUGGUUUUAAUUUUUGGCACUUUCUGUUAACUCAUCAGGAAAAAAAAUAUAAUAAACUGCCAGGAAUGUAUGGUAGAACUUAAAUUCAUUCACAACCAACUGCAAUUGGGCAAUAAAUGAUGGAGUGUGAAAUGUGGACCACACAUUACUGAUUGGCAAGCGCCUCUGCAUAAUUAAAGACCGUAGUGUGUAAUUAAAUGGUAUUUCUGUGUGAGUCCCCAAAGUUUAUCCAAAGUUACAAAUCCCAAGUUUAAACCCAGUCAAAAUGACUAAGGGGAUUAUGCACAGAAAGGGAAUUUUUCACAAUGGAAUUUUAAUACGAAUUUGACUCAACAGAUACAUCAGAUUCGCAGCAGGACACUUAGAAAGGCUGAGCUAAUUCUCUGGAGUGGGCUUUGUCUGCCUUUAAAAUGCACAAACACUCAUGUGUCAGCUCCCUACCCAUGCCUUUGACAGCAAUCCAUUGUAAUAAUGAUCUCACUUUCUGUCUCUGUCGCGUUCCUCCAUGGGGCGACAGGUUGGCCGCAGCCAAUCAAGAUUCACCCUCAUCCAGGUAGGCGAAGUCACCGGGUUGCCCUGGGCUCGAGUGCUGGAGGUGGGUCAGGGCCCAUUGUGUGUCGUGCCCCCCCGUAGCCCUCCCCAUGUCCCUACCCAGGGCUUGUGAAGAGCAGGUAACACAAAGCCUGCCCUAUUGCCUUCAGAAGGCGCCUUCUCACAGCGGCGAGGAGGUGGGCUUGUGCCAUGGGAGCCUUUGUGUGGGCUCUUCUCUUUUGUACCUGUCAGUGAUCACAGGCUUCAGUGGUGCCUGUUCCCCGUUUGGCUCCAGACAGGUCAGCAGAGAGGUAGAGCCCUGCGACACCCUUAAUUAAACUUGUCAGCCCCGCAUACCUCGACACCCGGCGCAGGUCGUCAGAUAAGACAUAAUUGAUGAGUUUGAAAUGUUGUGAUAGCUUUGAUUUUCUCCCGUUUUAACGUCUCUGUUUUUCUUGAUCCCCCAGGUCAUUGACAUAUAAUUUCUUUCCUUCAGUCCUUUUUCUUUUCAUAAUUCUUAGUUCCUCUCGGUGAGAAUGCACAUGCAGAACCACAGACCCCCAGGAUGGUUCAUAGUGGGGUUCAUGUACGAGGAAGUCUUCGAUUACUUUGGUUGUCUUAUGACAGCUUCUUUGGGCUUCACAGAGGUCAGUCUCUGCAGCAGGUAGGACCAGGUUAUGGGCUCAGAGCUCAAUUUGUGUGGCUCCCAUUACAUGACAGAAUUUAAGUGCGCAGGACAGUGUCUUACAUGCGCAAAUACAGCAUUCAGGCGCAUACAUGUAACGGGGACCUCACGUACACAUCAAUGCCUGGCCAUGCUGUUGAGUAUUGCAUCUACCCUGAGCCCUCCCAGGUAGAGCAAUUGAUUAGAUAAUAAUUACUCAUAAUGAGCCAAUGACAGAGAGUUUAUGACAGCAAUGUGCGAUAAACUAAGCAUUUUACUGGUGUUUCUUUUGAUUUAAGUGACCAUACGAGUCUCGAUUCAGCCAGCCUGCUACCUUAAUGGUUCUACUGAAAGACCCGUCCACACAUGCAAGCCAUUAACGGCUGCUGACCCCUCGUCGCCUACGUGACUGACACCGCAGGAAGAUGUCUGCUCCAGGAUGAGAGCGUGUGCAUCGUACCCCUGACCCCGCAGCUGUCGAGAAGCUACUCAGUGUCCUGUGGAAACAGAAUUAAAUAUUGGGCUGAAAUAUUAGAAACGCCUUGAAGUAGCGUUGGGCAGCACAAAAUUGGUCAUUUUCGAAAAAGCAAAACACGAAGUUCAUAUUUUCCUGUCGCUUUCAAUCACACUCAAGCCAGUGAAGGUUUUUCAUGCCGAAGUGAAUUGCGAGGACAUAUGGCUCAGAUUAACGCUAAAACAGUAGCCGGACGAUGGUGCGAUUGUGCUGGGGCUCUAAUUAGCCUCGCAAAAUCGAGCUGUGGCGGUGAUAAAAACGCGCGAUUCUUUCGCUAGCUUCAGCCAGCCUUCCCUCACAUCUGCACGUCGCCAUGGCCGCUUGGGAGCCGGCGUAAUGAUACGUUUCUGCGCUAUUUCUGUGUGGUCCGCUUCUCGCUCUCUUCACCCCGCUUUUGGUUUGUUUAUUACUCCCCAGAAGGGGGGGGGGAAGGCUCCGUACCAAAAUUAGUUUACUUCAUUUAUUUUUAACCACCCAGAGCCUUCCGUUGUAAUUUAGCGCCGUGCGGCCUUGGACUUCUCGUGAUUCGUGGUCGGACGUGACACUGUUAAAGUUUUGAUUUCCCAGCAUUCCACGCCACUCGCUUCCAUUAGCGUAAAUAACAGAAUAUUGGUGGCAGCAUGGAAGCCGCGCGCCACGAAAACGUUGGUACCCGCUGCUCGUGCCGCCUUGUGCCGUCUCGUUUAAUCGGCUUGUUUCCUAAUUAUAGGUCUCGCACCGCAGCUCCUGGGUGUGGCACCGGGGAAGACCGUAAAACUUACUGUAAAUGCUGUGCACGCGCGCGCGCUGCUAAUGCUGAUUACGCCGCUUAUGUCAUACUCCCGAAUGGGCGCCGAAGAAUCACGAUGCCGUCCGCCUCCAGCGUUAUGCGCCCGUGAGCCUCUCGCAACGCUAACUGUGCCAAAAUGGCUGCUGGCGUGAGACAAAAACAGCAGAUCUAUGCUUUUCGGGCACCGUUUGCAAUGUUGCUUCCCUUCCAGUAAAUAUUCCCUUUAUUAGUUAAUGUGCUGCUGUGAUGUAUAAUUCAGCAAAGCCUGGCCUCAGAGUUCAUACAGACCUGACAGGGAUAUGGCUAGGGUAUGGGAUGCAAAGCCACAACCUUCUGGAGAUGGACACCGAUCCCAAUCACACUGAGCCACGGCCUACCCACUAUCCAGUGACUGUUCAGAGAGGAAGUAGAAAGCUUCAGUAUAAAGAAACCUGGUAGGACAGUUGUGCUUUAACGUCUGCUUUGAAGGGGGGCGGGAUUCGGUGUUUCCAGAUACAGUGCUUCACGUUUCUCCCGCCAGAUUGUAAAAGACAAUCCGUUUUUCUUAGCUAAGUGGCUCUACGUCUGAUGUGCUAUUUUCUGCAAGAACCCAAGGAAAGUAUUGGAGUAUAAAUUUAAAUGUACUGUCGUGUGAUUUUGUCAUGUGUGUUGCCUCCCCCUCAUCUAUAGGUUUUAAAAGAAUAUAAUUUUUCAGUCGUGAGGAAUGAAAACCCGCAGUGUGGCUCUGUGUGGGGGCGCACACUGGCCAUCGGACUGUACACCUGUGGCGGCCACCCUUCACUCACGCUCCGGUGUGUAUAAAUCCCUAAGAACCACAGAAUCUGCCAGUGACACAGCCACUGCGGUAGAUCAGCGGCCUGGCGGAGGCUCAGCGCCCAGCUCCCGCGUUGGUCAGACUCCGACAUGCGAUCUCCCACUUCGUGUGUUUGAUCAGCGAGUCGCCGCACCUUGGCAGGAGUGACCCGACUCGUGGUGGCCGUUGAUCAAUCAGUCACAGUCCCGGCAUGGCGGUGUCACCUGAAGGCUGACAGAUCCAGCUAUGGGGGGAUCAGACCCCACAGUGUGAUGCACCCUUCAGUUUCCCAGCGGUGUUAGCGCCUCCUGCAGUCCGCAGCCUGCCAUGCACCCAAGAACACUGAGGCGUUUCAUUACCCUGUUCUGCUUUGGGUAUACCAAAGAAAAUGAACUCGACCAUUAAUUACGAGUCAUAGCUUAGGGGAGCUGAGGCCGGAUCACGGGGGGAGUCCAUGCUGCGGAUUAUCCUGCAAGUCAGACGAGGGAGGCCCCUCCGAUGUGUCCACUGAGGGGAUGCCUGCCCCCUUCUCAUUCGUGGGGAGGUACCAAGGGGACAGCGGGGGGAAUAAAUAUCGGGGAUGACUCUCCGUUUAUGGGAAAUGCCACCACACCCUGUCGUUUAGGAGUAAGAGCGUUCUGCUGGGACAUCUCUACAGAUAGGGUUAUGGCAGUGAUAACCUUGCCAUUACCAUGAGGUUACUGUUCUGCUUAUAGCAGAGUCAUGGUAAUUACCGCGACUCUCUUUUCCUCCCUCGACCCCCCCCAUGCCCCCCAACCACAUCACGGUGCGAAUCCCCACUUCCUCCAGGACCUGCCCCCUCUCCACCGCCUGCUAUGCGCAUGCCAGGCCGCCCAUCAGGCCGCGGCUCGUGGUAGAGGGAGCAGGCGAGCUCCCACACGGCCUCCGGUAGCCGUCUCCCACCGCUGUCUC